AGCACCGUGGUGUACGGUACACCCGCCGCCCAGACUAAAGUGCCGCAAUACCUCAAUAUAACGGCGAGCCGGGGGUUCGACUCCCUGCCGGUGCAU